CCCCUUCUUUCAAAUCUUUACUACUCUAUAAGAGAGCAAAGUAGGCGUCCACCUGCUUCACCGUGCCUCUGCUCCCGUGAUUCGCGUGCCCCCGCCCCAUCUCUCUCGCCGCACGCACCCGCCCCGUUUCUCUCGCCCCCGCUCUCCUCUCUCACCGCCAUCUCCGCUCUCUCCCACCCGGAUCUGCGCGCGUCCGCCUUGGACUUCCAUGGACGGCUGCCUGCGCCCACCAUCGGCUGACCAUGGAUCACGCCCCCGUCCCGGCUCUCCUCGCCGAUGGAAACUCACCCCCUCCACCACGAUGCUCACCCACGCUCUCGAUGGAAGGCGCGCCAUUCCCGUCGUGAAUCCCGCUGGCGUGAUGCCCACGCUCGUCCUCAUCUCCUUCCUAGCUCGAUUCCAGCACCCGCCAUCAUCUCCUUCCUGCCCCUGCUCGCGUACCCCAUGCCCGCCGUGUAUCCUGCCGGUGCAAUGCCCAUGCCUGCCCUUAACUCCAGAUGCCCGCCUUCCUAACUCGACGCCCCCUUCUAUCCCCUCAACGAGCUAGCAUCACACGAAUGGGUAUUCUUUCCAUUGCCGCCAUCGAGCUUCCAUAGUAGGCAGCUGACCUCCAUAGUAUGCGGUAAGCUUCCAAUCAGCGCCCUCGUCCGCCCCCAUCCAUGCCCCAUUCCAACCUUGGUGCAACCUUCCAACGACGAUGCCUACCUUCCACCCAACAUGCCCGCCAUUACUGCUCUAAAAGGAAGGACACAAGCGAUGGCGCCAACCCACCCCCAUUCCCCACGCAUCUUCCCCGUCGUGGAUCCACAUGAACAAGCUAAGUUCAAACUUGAAAAGCUAGAGGGGUGGAUGAUAAUUUGCUGAUAGCUAUUGAAACUGGUGGAUGAUAGUUCAAACCUGAAACGAGACACCAAUUUAUUCUACACUGCAAUGAAAUUUUAACAUGUGGUUACUAAAUUUUGUUGGAUUCAUUAAAUGCCUAUUUUUUUGGUUUGAGUACUUUAUAUUGUUCUCCUGAGAUGUUUUUUAGUUCAUGUCCAAGAGUGUUGAAACCGUGUUAUGCCAGAAACAAAGCAGUGUGAUUUGCUUACGGCCUCUAUGCUGAACCUAUGAGAUGAACAUGAUGUUUGUCUCUCUCA